CCAUUAGAUGAUGAAGAAUUAGUAUCCUAUAUUCUUAAUGGCCUUGAUCCGGACUACAAUCCUAUAACUUCUGCUCUUGUAACUAGGGUAGAACCAAUUUCUUUGGGUGAAAUGUACUCUCAACUGCUGAGUUUUGGGA